UCGGCAUAAGCCCCUUGAGUGUACGUGUGUGUCACUGGGGUAAGGGGGUUACCCGGGGAUAUCUAAAAUUCCUUUCUAAAAAUCUACAAAUAUCUUCCGCAUCCUAAUCAAUAUGCAGGAAUCCCUUUAAGAACCAAGUGAAGGAUCUGUCACAUAAUUGCUAUUUGGAGAGAAUUUCUGCAUGAAAAGGAACUUCGAGGAUCAGUUUUUGGACUCAAGGAUUGAAGGCAUGAUUUAUUGUUUAUGUAGUACAGUCCCAUGUACUGCUUUUGAGUGACUGAUGAUCAACUCAUAACAGAGUUUUAGCUGACACACUGCUGGCUUGGAACACUCACACUAUUGCGAGAGAAGCUAUGAUGGCAAAGAGACUAUCUGCAUACCAGCUGAAAUCACUACAUCGAGUGAUACUAGACCUUCAGGAAGGCUUUCCUUUAAACAUACUUAGAGGAGCUUCUGGGAGAGGAAAGAGCAGAGAGAAUCCUAAUAUUGUUAUAGAGGAGGAUCAGAGAGUAGCUGAUUGUCUCCAUAAACCAGUCAUGGUAAACGAAGUGCUGUCAUUCUUUGCUCCACAAGAAAAACAGGGAUUGCUGAAAAUGACUAUUAAUCAUCAUCAACAUCGUCUUCACGGACAUUUCAACUUGUUACAGUGACUCUUGUUAUUCAUCGUGCUUCAACAUCAGUUUCAUCAUCGCCAUCAUUGUGAACUUAUCUUCGCAAGCCAACUUGGAUUAUCAUUGGAUUUUACUUUGUAUUAUUAUCGCAAUCUCAAUAGACAAUCUUCCCGAACCAACUGGGAUUUUUAUUUGGAUAUAGGAUUUCACUUCGGAUAUAUUGCACAUCUGUCACCUCAAGAGAUGUAAAUGUAAGAUCAAUAUUUAUUUAUGCUUUGUAUAUGGUUAAUUAUUUCCUCUAUUAAAAAAAAGGGGAAUCAAAUUUCAAAUUAUUUAAUUGUUAUUUGUUGCAGUAACGUAACAAAUAAUUU